rnacentral:rRNA from 1 species
GACGAACGCUGGCGGCGUGCUUAACACAUGCAAGUCGAACGGAAAGGCCCUUCGGGGUACUCGAGUGGCGAACGGGUGAGUAACACGUGGGUGAUCUGCCCUGCACUUUGGGAUAAGCCUGGGAAACUGGGUCUAAUACCGAAUAGGACCACGCGCUUCAUGGUGUGUGGUGGAAAGCUUUUGCGGUGUGGGAUGGGCCCGCGGCCUAUCAGCUUGUUGGUGGGGUAAUGGCCUACCAAGGCGACGACGGGUAGCCGGCCUGGGAGGGUGACCGGCCACACUGGGACUGAGAUACGGCCCAGACUCCUACGGGAGGCAGCAGUGGGGAAUAUUGCACAAUGGGCGCAAGCCUGAUGCAGCGACGCCGCGUGAGGGAUGACGGCCUUCGGGUUGUAAACCUCUUUCAAUAGGGACGAAGCGCAAGUGACGGUACCUAUAGAAGAAGCACCGGCCAACUACGUG